GCCCUGCCCAAACUAAGGUGUGAGGCAUCGUGCUGAGAGUUGAGUGGCACUGGGGCAGUAAAAAAUGCAGUGUCGUUAAUGAUCCCUUCAGGGCAUCUGGUGAAACCCUGUCAUAUGUAGCCUUCUGCCUGGAUUGGGGAAUAGCCAGGCGGUGACUGUUUUUCCCCCAGUCUAUCAUUAUUUAUGGAUGAUUUAAAACUUUCUUUAAAUACAACUCUUUCUGGGGAGCGCUUCUCCGUCUCUUCAUGGGGUGGUGAUCUCAGGGCCUCUUUAGAGGGUACUGAGUCAAUUGGUUUGCCUCAGGGUGAUGGGGUUGUGGAGUGUUCUCCUGUUGUUGGUGUUUCCUCCGGGAGUAUACCUGGUCCGCGAAAGGCACGUUUGUCUGG
rnacentral:lncRNA from 1 species